UACACGGUUGUUUGCGAAAACCCAUCGAUGGGUAAAAAAACACCCAUUUUUAAAUAGCAUUAAUAUCUGUCAUAAAAUGGGGAAAUUUCUCAAUCAUGCAAUGGGUAAAAAAAUACCCAUUAAAGGACACCUCACACAUUAGAAAAAUGUUUAUUUUUUUACACAUUAAUGGUUGAAAAAAAGUUAUGAAACAAAGCCGUACCGCGCGGUUGGUGAAAAGCGCUGCUUGUAUCAAUUUUUAAUAUUAAUAAAUAAAUAAUAGUUACAGUUAAUAAUAUUUGUGACCGUACACCCUCGGCCCAACGCAGAUAGUCGAGAAACGGGCCGUACUAGUCGUCUUGUGCGCACUGUGCACGAAAAAGGGAGGAACUUCGAGUCAUACGGAAAGCUAUGAAGGUGGAACUUCUCAAUCGGUCUCCGACUUACGAUGUGAUGUGCCGGAAUCGAAAACUCCGAUGGAAAUUUUAGUCACUAUCAAACAUUGUGUAUAUCAUAAAUGACAUGAAUAAAGACAAAUAAAAGUGUUUUAUUUUUGCUUUUACUGAUUAAGUACUACGAAUACCAUAAAUCUACAAUUUACCAAAAUGCUACAUAAACUAUAUCCGAAGAUGGGUAAAUUUUUACCCAUUUUGUGGGAAUCUGGCUUUUCAACAAUGGGUAAAUAAAUACCCAUUUUAUGACAUAAACUGCGUUUACCCAUUAAUGGGUAAAUCGAGUUUACCCAUUAAAUGGGGAGAGACACUUCUAGCGAAAAUGGGUGUUUUUUCACCCAUUAAUGGGUUUUCGCAAACAACCGUGUAGAGGCCUGAAUAAGGGAAACGCGGAUAGCCAUGUGCCGCCAAUCGAACCGUCAGAAAAUAGCAGCCAAUUGAGAUUCUCACGUCCGAAUGUGUGAGUGGCGAUAAAAGGAAAACAAACACUCCUAGAUGGUGCUACUCAGCAAAGUUUGGGUAAAAAUGAGUAUAUUUCCAUAUAUUUUUUGACUCCUUCGCAACCAUCGUGAUGCCUCGAUCUAUUUUGAGGUUAUGAGCAGAAGGAAAACAAACAUGUAUUUACACAUGCCGAAUUGCACAUCAGUGUGCGAGCGUUAAACGUCACUCAUCUCUAUCGAGCAGGGGACCUGUCAAGCAGCCAAAAUGCUGGCUCAAAUACUGAAAAUGGCCAAAUUCGAUUUUAUGCCAUUUAUCAACAAACAAAAUUGAAUGUAUUUUAUAUUAGUUUGCAAUAAUAUAUGCAAGUCAUUAAUAGAUUAUGAAAUGAAAUUCCAUUGUUUAUUGGAUUCAAUUGUUAUGUAAUAUGGACACAUAAAAUAGCGGAUUGUGAGAUUUUAUCUACAUAAACCAUUUCUUCCUUUUCAUGUGUUGUUCUUUGAUGAAGAAGAUUGAAUGCAGUGUUGGCAGAGUCAUAUUUUCUAUCCGCGUUUCUCUUAUUCAGGCCUCUACUCUUACCUACUCUACUCUAUUGAGAUUCUCACGUCCGAAUGUGUGAGUGGCGAUAAAAGGAAAACAAACACUCCUAGAUGGUGCUACUCAGCAAAGUUUGGGUAAAAAUGAGUAUAUUUCCAUAUAUUUUUUGACUCCUUCGCAACCAUCGUGAUGCCUCGAUCUAUUUUGAGGUUAUGAGCAGAAGGAAAACAAACAUGUAUUUACACAUGCCGAAUUGCACAUCAGUGUGCGAGCGUUAAACGUCACUCAUCUCUAUACAUAUCCCAAAAUCCACGUAAAAAUAGCGUAAAAUAAAAAUAAAAACGCGCAAAUUUUAGUAAAACACAUGGACACAUCAAAGUAAUUUAUUAUUGAAUCUUUCUUUAGCUUUGAAUUAUUGAGCUCAAAAUUGGAUCUGUGGCAUAUACUCGAAUAAACAUUAAAUUUAUAAUAUUUGUCGAAACAAUAUUUCAAUUGACCAAACAUAUCGUAUCAGCAUAAUGUUCAUAUCGGUUGCAACUGUUCAAUCAAUUGAACAGCACUUCUGUUUACAUUUCUCGCGCUAAAAAUCAUAGAGGCGUUACUGCAUUGAUCGAUUCCUCUUCAUCGAUGUUUUCUUUCCAGCAAUGCAGCGAAUUGCGGCAGCUUUCCGAGGAUAGAGGUGUGCGCCGGUCCAAUAUUCAUCGGCGGCGGCGUUUGUCAGAAUUUUGGUCGGCGGCGGCGGCGUUUUCGGCGUCACGCCGAUAGCCAUUUUAGCCGGCGGCGGCGUGCAUCGGCGUGGCGUUUUUUUUUUAUCACGUCCCUUAAUUUUUUUGCCUUUUUCCUAAAUAUUUAUUUGGAAAUUAUUUAGGACAAAUCAAGCAUCCGAAAGAUAUUCAAUUUGCAAAAAAAAACUAACCGCGAUGGAGGUUUGUACUCUGAUGGCUUUUCCGCAAAUGUGACCUUUAAGUGGUCUUGUUGUGUAGGGGUUAUCACGCCUAUCUAGAGAGUAGGAGGUUGAGAGUUCCAGUCCCUCCAAGACACGUGGAUUUUUUUUCGCAAAUUUCAUAUCAAUUUGUCCAUUUUGAAACAUGUGCUGUGCAUAUGCACAGCCAAGAUAUUCAACAAAAAAAAGGUUUUCGAGUUGCCGAAUAAUAUGCAGUUAAUUGUAAUUUUCCUCGGGAACUACUCUGAAGUUUAGACAAAUGGAAUUACCAAGAGAAGCUUUCAGCAAAAAAUUCGUCAAGAGAAACUCGUCAGAAUUUUCACGAGAAAUUGUUCUAAAUUUCUACAGGAAAAUCCUCGGAAUAUACACGGAAAGUUCUUGUCGAGUUUCUGUUGAAUAUUCUUCGAAAUUUACUUCAUAAUUGUAGGAAAAUGCGACUGAUAGAAUGGGUGUUUUAACGUUGGCUUGCUCAGACUAAAAUAAUUAGUCUCCGGAAUUUGACGGGAACUUUAAUAGAAUUUCCGCGAAUGAUUGUUCAAAAUGUAGAUUUUAAUAUGAAAAAUCUUUGCAUUUAAACGGAAAAUUGUUCGGAAUUUUUAAGGAAUUUUAGGAAAUUCUCUGUACAAUAGAUGUUUGACAACUGAAACUUAUUCAACUGCAAUGCUUUCUAACUGCAAUUUAAUAGUUACAUCAGUUUUGUAGUUAUCGGACCGCUAAACUUCGAAACGAUUUUAAAUUCGAUGAUAGCUGCAUUGCGCUGAACAAUCAAAUGUACUUAUAUUGCAUCUGAAGUUGUCGGACGUGACAAUAGUUGGACGUUUAGAACGUUUAGAACUGCAUUCGCUAACUAAAACGAAAACAUAUUGCAGUUAUCGAACGACUAGUGUAUUGUCCAUAAGACAUUCUUGGGAAAUUCAGUUGGCCGAAAGCGUCAAGCGGCCGAACUGAUAAUUUGGCCGAAAAAAUCGUUUAUCCUAACAGGUCGUUUGGCCGAAUAGAUCAUCUAAUCAAAUCCUAUUAAGCUGAACUUAACGUUUAUCCGCAACUAUUAUCAGGUCGAAAAUGGUUUGACAAAAAAUGUAGUUUGGUCGAAAGCGACAUACAGCCAAAAGGAACAUUCGGCCGAACUGGUAAUUAGGCCGAAAAAAUCAUUUAACCAAAUAAAUCAUUAGACCGAAAAUGCCGUGUGGUAGGAAUGGUCAUUUGACACGAAAAUAUCCUUUCUGCAAAAUACCCUUCCGGCCAAAUGGCAA